rfam:Myotis lucifugus cont2.15622, whole genome shotgun sequence.
AGGCCCGGAGAGAGAAGCAGGGUCUGAUCUGCAGCCUGUUUGGCAGCUGCUGAUCAGCCCUUGCCUCUCUCUCUCUCCUGG